GUGGGGGCCCCCGCCACCUCCCUGCCUCCUGCGGAGGGCCGAGCCGGGACCACGUGCCCACCUUGCGCACUUACUGCUAAUGAGUGACUUCGUUCGUAAAUGCAUGCGGAGGGCCGUCCGGAGACACGUGGAAACCGGCCAGGCAGCGAAAGCGGGCGGAGGGCUGAGCAUGGCAGGCGGGGUCAGCGCCCCGUGAGACCGAGCGGGAGCUCAGCAGAAGGCAGAAUCCACACCCUCGAGGCUCAGUCCUGAUCCGAGGGCCGGAGUGGGGCUUCCCUGGCAGAGGACGUGCUUCGGAAGGGCCCGGGCUGAUGCUGGGUCAUCGCUGCGGCGGGUGGAGAUGUGUGGAGGCUGGAGAGAAGGGGCCAGGACAGGACCUUCCACAGUGCCACGUCCCGGUUCCCCAGCAUCCUGCCUGGCAGCGGACGGGCCGAGAUCUGGCCACGUGGAUUUUGUUCAGCCGCCCAGGGAGCUCUGGACCCAAGGCAGGGCGGAGCUCCCUCAGCCGUCCUGGAGUGAGGAGGGCAGAGCCGAGCGGAUGGCGCUCUGAUGGGGUUGCAGGUCACCUCGUCCCCAGUGUCCGCACUUGGUCCCCACAGCAGCACCACCAGCUGAUCUGUCUCCAUCUGUUGCCGAUGAUGACCCAUGACCUUGGAGAACUCCCAGGGGGACCGUGCACCCAGCACUACACACGGUGGUGUUUCUCGGACCUCCCUCCGACAUCCAGACUGGGGCCAGCCCUUCCCAGCUGUUGUGUUUCCUCCCUCCUCUCCAGAUGUGGCCGUUCCCUCCCGCCUUUGGGGGCAGCGGGAGAACAGCCGACACACCAUUACGUGCUGACCUCUCCGUCUCCUUCCACAGACUGGGGACCCUUAGGGACAGGGGCCAGGCCUUAUCCAUCAGUCUCCUCCAGAACCACCCGGGUGGGCAACCAGCAGGCCCUGGGCAGUGCAUCCACUGGGGUCAACACAGAUGGCAGGGCCAGGAGAGCACCUGGCCCCAACACCGUCUCAUGGCCGCAGCAGCCCUGGGCCAGCACACAGGUCAGCCACAGGUACCGGCUGGCCAGGUGUAUCAUCUGCAGAGCCAGCACAAACGAAAACGCAGGGCCCCUUUCGCAGAAACCACAGGAUUUCAGGAUGGCAAGAGCAGAGCCCGAAAUCACGGCGGGCCCUUCUUGAGCACACCAUCAGGCACCCAUGCAGCUGGCCCACCUGCCAGCCUCUGUCCAGAGGUCUCAGUCC
rnacentral:lncRNA from 1 species